rnacentral:rRNA from 1 species
AUUGAACGCUGGCGGCAGGCCUAACACAUGCAAGUCGAGCGGAUGAAGGGAGCUUGCUCCUGGAUUCAGCGGCGGACGGGUGAGUAAUGCCUAGGAAUCUGCCUGGUAGUGGGGGAUAACGUCCGGACACGGGCGCUAAUACCGCAUACGUCCUGAGGGAGAAAGUGGGGGAUCUUCGGACCUCACGCUAUCAGAUGGGCCUAGGUCGGAUUAGCUAGUUGGUGGGGUAACGGCCUACCAAGGCGACGAUCCGUAACUGGUCUGAGAGGAUGAUCAGUCACACUGGAACUGAGACACGGUCCAGACUCCUACGGGAGGCAGCAGUGGGGAAUAUUGGACAAUGGGCGAAAGCCUGAUCCAGCCAUGCCGCGUGUGUGAAGAAGGUCUUCGGAUUGUAAAGCACUUUAAGUUGGGAGGAAGGGCAGUAAGUUAAUACCUUGCUGUUUUGACGUUACCAACAGAAUAAGCACCGGCUAACUUCGUG